rnacentral:rRNA from 1 species
ACGGGAAGUAAAAGUCGUAACAAGGUCUCCGUUGGUGAACCAGCGGAGGGAUCAUUAUAGAGUUUUCAAAACUCCCAACCCAUGUGAACUUACCUAUGUUGCCUCGGUGGGAGCCUACCCUGUACCUACCCUGUAACGGGUUACCCGGGAGCGGCCCCACCGGUGGACCUUUUAACUCUUGUUAUUUUAUUGUAAUCUGAGAGUCUUAUUUUAAAUAAGUCAAAACUUUCAACAACGGAUCUCUUGGUUCUGGCAUCGAUGAAGAACGCAGCGAAAUGCGAUAAGUAAUGUGAAUUGCAGAAUUCAGUGAAUCAUCGAAUCUUUGAACGCACAUUGCGCCCAUUAGUAUUCUAGUGGGCAUGCCUGUUCGAGCGUCAUUUCAACCCUUAAGCCUAGCUUAGUGUUGGGAAUCUACACCAAAGGCCUCUGGCCCUACUGUAGUUCCCGAAAAUCAACGGCGGAUCUAUAAUAGUCCUCUGAGCGUAGUAAUACCCGCUGAACUUAAGCAUAUCAAUAAGCGGAGGAA